GUGCCCCGUGCGAGUUAUGCGAUUUAAAAGAAAAGUAAAAAUUGUAUGACGGGUUACGUAUGGAUAAAAAUAUCAUUUUUUUAUUAUUAUUAUUAUCAAAAACUAAUGAUUCAGUUGGCAAAUAACGAAGAAUUUGCCUUGCGGAUUGAAAUUACAAAAGUUGAAUCAAAAGGUAAAGAACAGAGGCUAUCAGUGAGUUACUGUUAGAGGCUAACAGUGCGGGGAGUAAAGAGCAGAGAGAGCAGAGGGAGUAAAGAACACAGAGCGAGAGAUCAGCGAGAGAAAAGAAAAAAGCAGAGAGAGAGCUGCAAGAGAGGGCAGAGACAGAGCAGCGAGAGCAAGCAGAGAGAGAGAGAGAGCCACGUACCGACGCAACGAGUCGACGACGACGAGUAGGCGCCGAUCGGCAAGGGAAGGAGACAGCGGCGGUGAUGACAGCCGAUCGGCGAGGUGAGGAAUGAGACCAGAUGUUUGUGACAGACAGCGGCGAUGAAUCGAUAUGAAUGAGAUGAAAUGUGGGGUCAAUUAGGUUUAAUUGAGGAAUUAUUGUGUGUGUGUGUGAGUAUAUGUCUGAUAGAUGUGUGUGCGUGUAAUCUAUGGCUGGAAUUUCUUGCUCUGUGUGUGUAACAGAGGAUGUUUUUUUUUGCAUCAGGAGGCGGGUCGGGUCAGUUAAAAAUGCGGUUAGGCAAAAUUACACCCGCGCCGACCCGCCAGAACUGGGACCCAACCUGCUCGCCAGAGUUGAAAAAUUGGUCGGUUCGGAGCGAUUUGGUGCAGUUUUGGGGUAUUAUGCACAGCCUUCAUAACAACCCAUCACUACUUUUGGAAGACAAUUAUUGUCUGUCCUCAUCAUCCAUUAUAAUCAUCAUAUCCUUGGUGAAAAACUACUUUCUACACUUGUUGCUUUAGUUUCUUCACAUUCACAUGGGACGAUUUGCAACAGAAGAGGAUGCAAGGUUAUGCCACCUCAGGUUGCAUUAAGGAAGCUCUCCACACGUUGAAUUUCAUGAGGAAUAAUGUCCCUGGCAAACCCACUGUCUAUGAUUUUAAUGCUUUAAUACAUUGUUAUUCCAAAUCAAAAAAAACAUGUCUUGUUGGAUGA